rnacentral:lncRNA from 1 species
AUAGGGAAGGUUAACUAGGCAUAGUCAACUUUGCCCACUCUUCAUUUACCUUUUGGAAGAAGUCUCAGACUUCCUCACAACCAAAAAACCUCCGCCUGACACAAUUUUCAGUCCCUGCUCUGGCCUCUUCUGACAAGGAAGAUGCUCAGCCAGGAUGCAGGCUCAGCCCUUUGAGACUGGUAGAUGUACUUAGAAACCUUCGUCUAACCAGUGAGCUCUGCCCUUACCAGUCGCUCUUCAGUCACUGCUCCUAGGCCCCUAACUACUGAUUUGCUAUUGCACUGCAGAAUAUUCUAGGACAUUCAGAUUUGCAUGCAUUUUUCUUCUGUCCUUUCUUGACAGUGUUUCUCUGUGUAGCCCUGGCUGGCCCCGAACUCAGAACGGAUUGCCUCCGGAGAUGAGGGCACCCAUCAUUCCUGUUUUUUUGAAUGAGUGUGUUUUGUGUGUGGGGAACACACAUGAACGAGGACCCCAGGAACACCAUCUCCUUCCCUUGAGGGAGGGUCUCUCAUUGACCUCACCGACUGGGCUAGGCACUGAGCCCACGGAUUCUCUUUACUGAGGAUUUCAAGCAGACCAUUU